AAAUCUCCCUACUCUCACUUUCAUUGCGCAUACAGGAGUAAAACCCGCAUACUCGCACAUAUGUUAGACUCCUUGGUCCGUGUUUCAAGACGGGUCGGUUGGAACCGAUUAAGCCAGCAUCACAGAAACCGAGUACUCGAAAGUGGAGCUCGGAAACAGGAACACUCCUCAGCCACAAGGAAAAGGAAAGAACAAAGAUAUAACGGUCCACAAGGAACCUAUCUUCUUUGAACGAAAUCAAUUCCGAGUAGCUGAUGCUGACCUCUCCAAAAAGAUGAACCGGAAAUACAUCAAGAAACCAAAGCCUAAACCUGGUGAGAGAGAGAAGGCAAAGGGAUAGAUGGCAAACCGGCGGCACUUCUUGGAAUCAAAAAGGUCCCAAUCGCUUCCUUUUCAGCAAUUUCAGGCACUUUUAACUCUCUUUCCAAAGAACUUUUCAUCUUUCCCUCACGGUACUUGUUUGCUAUCGGUCUCGCGCCAGUACUUAGCUUUAUGUGAAACCUACCACACAUUUUGCGCUCAAAUCCCGAUGAACGCGACUCUAUAAAAGCGUACCGUACGUGGAACAAAAAACGCAGGGGAAGGACGGGAUUCUCACCCUCUAUGAUGUUCUUUCCCAAGAAACUUAACCCUGCGCUUCCACUGGUAACGCCUCUCGAGGCUACAAGUCAACAGCUCGGAAAGAGCAGUUGAUUUCCACUUUGAGCUGAUCCCGGUUCACUCGCCGUUACUAAGGGAAUCAUAGUUAUUUUCUUCUCCUCCGCUUAAUAAUAUGCUUAAGUUCAGCGGGUAACCUCGCCUGAUUUCAGGUCUG